GGUGUGUUCAACUUGGUGGUGUGUUCAACUUUAUUUUCCAGGUGGUGUGUUCAACUUUAAUAGUCAACUGUUGUGUUCAUUAAGGAUUGUAUUGGAGCAAUUGAUGGAACACACAUCAAAGCAUAUAUAUCUCCAAAUAAGCAACCUUGUUUAAUAGGUAGAAAGGGGUAUGCAACUCAAAACAUAAUGGCUGCAUGUGACUUUGAUAUGUGUUUCACCUUUUGCUUAUCAGGAUGGGAAGGAAGUGCACACGAUACUCGGAUCUUCUUGGAUACAAAUAGGAAUCCUAGUUAUAAUUUUCCAAAGCCACAAGGAGAUGAGUUUUACUUGGUGGGUGCUGGGUAUCCAAACAUGAAAGGAUAUCUUGCACCUUACAAAGGAGAGAGAUAUCAUCUAGCUCAAUUUGAACAUGGUCAACCCCUUCAAAAUGCACAAGAAAAAUUCAACCAAGCACAUUCAUCACUUAGAAGUGUAAUAGAAAGAACGUUUGGGGUUUGGAAAGCAAGAUGGCUGAUGAUAAAGGAUAUCCCACCAAACUAUAGUUGGGCGACCCAAGUCAAACUUGUUUGUGCAACAAUGGCAAUUCAUAAUUUCAUCUGACGCAGUGAGUUCCGCGAUAUUGCAUUUGACUCUUAUGAUAGAUUUGCGGAUUAUGUGCCUAAUGAAGAGGAAGGAUAUUCAUCUCAACAAGCAUGCCAUGGAAAUGAUGUUGACUGUGAUGACACUGAGAUGGAAGUGAGGAGACAUAAUAUUUGUAUGUCAAUUUGCCGACGAAAUUAGGAGAUCUUUAAAUAUGUAUGAAGUUUUAAUUUUAUUGCUUUAAUAGUAAUUUCUUGUAUUUUUAUUGCAAUAAACAUUUUUUUGUUUCCUU